ACACAUGCAGUCGAGCGGUAACAGAUCUAGCUUGCUAGGAUGCUGACGAGCGGCGGACGGGUGAGUAAUGCAUAGGAAUCUGCCCGAUAGUGGGGGAUAACCUGGGGAAACCCAGGCUAAUACCGCAUACGUCCUACGGGAGAAAGGGGGCUCCGGCUCCCGCUAUGGGAUGAGCCUAUGUCGGAUUAGCUAGUUGGUGAGGUAACGGCUCACCAAGGCCACGAUCCGUAGCUGGUCUGAGAGGAUGAUCAGCCACAUCGGGACUGAGACACGGCCCGAACUCCUACGGGAGGCAGCAGUGGGGAAUAUUGGACAAUGGGGGAAACCCUGAUCCAGCCAUGCCGCGUGUGUGAAGAAGGCCCUCGGGUUGUAAAGCACUUUCAGCGAGGAAGAACGCCUAACGGUUAAUACCCGCUAGGAAAGACAUCACUCGCAGAAGAAGCACCGGCUAACUCCGUGCCAGCAGCCGCGGUAAUACGGAGGGUGCAAGCGUUAAUCGGAAUUACUGGGCGUAAAGCGCGCGUAGGUGGCUUGAUAAGCCGGUUGUGAAAGCCCCGGGCUCAACCUGGGAACGGCAUCCGGAACUGUCAAGCUAGAGUGCAGGAGAGGAAGGUAGAAUUCCCGGUGUAGCGGUGAAAUGCGUAGAGAUCGGGAGGAAUACCAGUGGCGAAGGCGGCCUUCUGGACUGACACUGACACUGAGGUGCGAAAGCGUGGGUAGCAAACAGGAUUAGAUACCCUGGUAGUCCACGCCGUAAACGAUGUCGACCAGCCGUUGGGUGCCUAGCGCACUUUGUGGCG
rnacentral:rRNA from 1 species